UGUUCGCUAAGAGUUGUGCGUAUAAGAGCUUUUGUAAGAAGUCAGUGAUUGUGUGUCAAAUUUUGUUUCAAAAAAUAAAUUCCGUGGUAACAGCAGAAGGAGACGUAAAAAAAUUUUAUUUGUCAGAACGAUGUAAAGAAAACUAAACUGAAGAAAAACUUCAACAGACUAUAGAUAGUCAGCGUACCAAAUUUCCUCCAGUUUCGAAACUAGUUUCUGGCACUGAAGAAAGUGAUGUGGAUAUGAUCAAAAAUAACCGUGAAAAAAAAAACGGAAAGUGGCGAUAAUUCUAUCCAAUCUGUCCUUCAAGAGAAAUUAGCCUUAAAAGAAAAAGAAUUUAUCCAUUUCUUAUAUAGCUCUGAAGUCCUUUCAAUAGUUAUUUGCAGAUAAAAAUAUAUAGAAUUAUCUGUAUUACUGUAUGGAAUGUUCUUGUAGAGGCCCACAGCUACACCUGGAUGUAUCCAAAUAUGCAACAUUAAACCUGGAAUAAAAAUUUGAUAUUAUUCAGGAGAAAAAACCGCUCCAGUGUUGACAAUAUUCAUCGGAGGCAAUCAUGAGGCUUCUAAUUAUCUCUAAGAAAUUCCUUAUGGAGGAUGGGUAGCUCCCAAUAUUUAUUACAUGGGAUACGCAGGGGUGCUAAAUGUCGGCGGAAUUAGAAUUGCUGGCAUUUCUGGAAUUUUUAAGGCUUAGAAUUUGUUCGCUGGACAUUUCGAGCAGCCGCCUUAUAAUAGUUCAACUAUUAGGAGUGUAUAUCAUAUUAGAAAUCUAGAAGUCUUUAGGUUGAAACAGAUUUGUGGAACAUUGGACGAUCUACUAAAAUUUUUUCAAAUUUUAUGGUCUGAGAUCAAAAUUUUACACAUUAAAUGGAAAUUUUAAUGAAAUUUCGAAAAAUCUAUAUUUUUUAACGCAAAUGAAAACGAGAGGGUUAACGUUAGAGACUGGACUUUAAGAGCUUUUCUUACAGAAUUUAAUACUGAAGAAGGAUCAGUGAUGGUUUUUCCGAAAAAUAAUGUUCUACAUAGUUUGCAGGAGAAAUGAAGGUUAAAAAAUCAUUUUUCCAUGUUAAAUCAAUGAUAAAUCUUCAAAUUCGUUGAUGGAGUUCUUCAAGUUAAUAUUAAGGGCUCAAAUUUUUACAGAAUUUUUUUUAUAGCAUAUAUAACAAGAAUUUCACAUGCAAUCAAAAAAAAAAAUUAUCGACUUUUUUUGGAACACCCUAGUGUGUACGUACGUUUACAAUAAGGUUUUUUCAAUGCAAUUAUUUAUUUAUAAUUUUAAAAUUGUAUUCUGGAUGUAUUGUUUUGCCAGUUGGGGUAUUUUAAGAUUUGAAUUGAUGAAAAUUGUCGACUAAUUUUAAAUUUUGGUUAGUAUUUAAAAAAUGUUUGUUAAAAUUAAUAAUUUUAAAGGUUAGAUUUCAUUGGGGUUCUUAUUGUUUAUGUAUUGACUGAGAUAUAAGAAUUGUAUUUAUUAUUUGACGUUUUAUAUAUUGUUAAUUUAAUUUUAUGUAUUCCUCAUUGUAGAGCCCUAAAGAAGUCAGGAAUUACUGACGAAACGUUGGCGAUGAAAUAAAAAAUAGUCCACAAGAAAUUGAGUCCUUAUUUCCCACUAAGAAUUAAAGUAUUCCAAGU